rnacentral:tRNA from 1 species
AAUUCCAUGUAAAUAAUUCCAAAAAAGGAUUUUAAAUCAACCCCAUUAUUCGGUCAAAGUACC